rnacentral:rRNA from 1 species
AUACGGAGGAUGCGCGCGUUAUCCGGAUUUAUUGGGUUUAAAGGGAGCGUAGGUGGGAUAUUAAGUCAGCUGUGAAAGUUUGGGGCUCAACCUUAAAAUUGCAGUUGAUACUGGUUUCCUUGAGUACGGUACAGGUGGGCGGCAUUCGUGGUGAAGCGGUGAAAUGCUUAGAUAUCACGAAGAACUCCGAUCGCGAAGGCAGCUCACCGGGCCGGAACUGACACUGAUGCUCGAAAGUGCGGGUAUCAAACAGGAUUAGAUACCCUGGUAGUCCGCACAGUAAACGAUGAAUACUCGCUGUUUGCGAUACACGGUAAGCGGCCAAGCGAAAGCGUUAAGUAUUCCACCUGGGGAGUACGCCGGCAACGGUGAAACUCAAAGGAAUUGACGGG